AGAGUUUGAUCCUGGCUCAGAGUGAACGCUGGCGGCGUGCCUAAUACAUGCAAGUCGAACGAUGAAGCUUCUAGCUUGCUAGAAUGCUGAUUAGUGGCGCACGGGUGAGUAACGCAUAGGUCAUGUGCCUCUUAGUUUGGGAUAGCCAUUGGAAACGAUGAUUAAUACCAGAUACUCCCUACGGGGGAAAGAUUUAUCGCUAAGAGAUCAGCCUAUGUCCUAUCAGCUUGUUGGUAAGGUAAUGGCUUACCAAGGCUAUGACGGGUAUCCGGCCUGAGAGGGUGAACGGACACACUGGAACUGAGACACGGUCCAGACUCCUACGGGAGGCAGCAGUAGGGAAUAUUGCUCAAUGGGGGAAACCCUGAAGCAGCAACGCCGCGUGGAGGAUGAAGGUUUUAGGAUUGUAAACUCCUUUUGUUAGAGAAGAUAAUGACGGUAUCUAACGAAUAAGCACCGGCUAACUCCGUGCCAGCAGCCGCGGUAAUACGGAGGGUGCAAGCGUUACUCGGAAUCACUGGGCGUAAAGAGCGCGUAGGCGGGAUAGUCAGUCAGGUGUGAAAUCCUAUGGCUUAACCAUAGAACUGCAUUUGAAACUACUAUUCUAGAGUGUGGGAGAGGUAGGUGGAAUUCUUGGUGUAGGGGUAAAAUCCGUAGAGAUCAAGAGGAAUACUCAUUGCGAAGGCGACCUGCUGGAACAUUACUGACGCUGAUUGUGCGAAAGCGUGGGGAGCAAACAGGAUUAGAUACCCUGGUAGUCCACGCCCUAAACGAUGGAUGCUAGUUGUUGGAGGGCUUAGUCUCUCCAGUAAUGCAGCUAACGCAUUAAGCAUCCCGCCUGGGGAGUACGGUCGCAAGAUUAAAACUCAAAGGAAUAGACGGGGACCCGCACAAGCGGUGGAGCAUGUGGUUUAAUUCGAAGAUACACGAAGAACCUUACCUAGGCUUGACAUUGAGAGAAUCCGCUAGAAAUAGUGGAGUGUCUGGCUUGCUAGACCUUGAAAACAGGUGCUGCACGGCUGUCGUCAGCUCGUGUCGUGAGAUGUUGGGUUAAGUCCCGCAACGAGCGCAACCCCCUUUCUUAGUUGCUAACAGGUCAUGCUGAGAACUCUAAGGAUACUGCCUCCGUAAGGAGGAGGAAGGUGGGGACGACGUCAAGUCAUCAUGGCCCUUACGCCUAGGGCUACACACGUGCUACAAUGGGGUGCACAAAGAGAAGCAAUACUGCGAAGUGGAGCCAAUCUUCAAAACACCUCUCAGUUCGGAUUGUAGGCUGCAACUCGCCUGCAUGAAGCUGGAAUCGCUAGUAAUCGCAAAUCAGCCAUGUUGCGGUGAAUACGUUCCCGGGUCUUGUACUCACCGCCCGUCACACCAUGGGAGUUGUGUUUGCCUUAAGUCAGGAUGCUAAAUUGGCUACUGCCCACGGCACACACAGCGACUGGGGUGAAGUCGUAACAAGGUAACCGUAGGUGAACCUGCGGUUG
rnacentral:rRNA from 1 species